rnacentral:rRNA from 1 species
UACGUAGGGUGCAAGCGUUGUCCGGAAUUAUUGGGCGUAAAGAGCUCGUAGGCGGUCUGUUGCGUCCGCUGUGAAAACUCGGGGCUUAACCCCGAGCCUGCAGUGGAUACGGGCAGACUAGAGGUAGGUAGGGGAGAAUGGAAUUCCCGGUGUAGCGGUGAAAUGCGCAGAUAUCGAGAGGAACACCGGUGGCGAAGGCGGCCAACUGGACGAAUACUGACGCUGAGACUCGAAAGCGUGGGGAGCAAACAGG